CAAUAGCGUAUAUUAAAGUUGUUGCAGUUAAAAAGCUCGUAGUUGGAUUUCUGGUGGGAGCGAUCGGUCUGGCGCUUAGCGCGAGUACUUGCAUCGUCUCCGGCCAUCCUUGGGGAGAGUCUGUCUGGUAUUAAGUUGUCGGGCAGAGGAUCCUCAUCGUUUACUGUGAAAAAAUUAGAGUGUUCAAAGCAGGCUUAUGCCGUUGAAUAUAUUAGCAUGGAAUAAUAAGAUAGGACUUUGGUACUAUUUUGUUGGUUUGCGCACCAAAGUAAUGAUUAAUAGGGACAGUUGGGGGUAUUCGUAUUCCGUUGUCAGAGGUGAAAUUCUUGGAUUUACGGAAGACGAACUACUGCGAAAGCAUUUACCAAGGAUGUUUUCAUUAA
rnacentral:rRNA from 1 species